rnacentral:lncRNA from 1 species
UGGGAGCUCGAGAAAACCAUGCGGCGAGAGUAUCCGCAACUGUUUGAGUCGACGAAUUAAGGUAUGCGUAAUUUCGCGGACGAAAUUAUUUUAAGGGGUGGAGAAUGUAAUAUACCGAAAAUUCGAAAAAUAAAGAUGUCGAAGUUUAGUCAAAUUGACCAAAGUGCGAGGACAGUACACUUAGGAAAGUCCGAAGGUGUUAAAGUGAUUAAAAGCGAGAUACGGGAGGUUUUUGAGAGCUAUAGAAUCAAAAUCUGCAUUCUGCAGUUUUGAGCUCUCGGGGACCGGUCCCUGGAGGGAGAGACCGGUCCCCGAACGCGUAUGAAGUGAGACAGCCGAAAAAUCGGCUAAGUCCUGGGAAAGCAGCUCUCGGGAACCGGUCCCUGCCUGAGAGACCGGUCCCCGAGAGACCGGUCCCCCAAGGAGAGACCGGAUGCAUCGCGCGCAGCAGCUCUGGCUGCGCUGGGAUGACCUUCGGGAACCGGUCCCUGAAGGAGAGACCGGUCCCCGGCUGCGCGAACUGUCCAGUUCGGGCA